ensembl:lncRNA
AUGUCACUGGAGUGGUCCCUUUUCCUAGAAAUUACAGUAUGUUUUUCUAGUACGUGGCAGGAUAGAGGUAAAACUGGGAUAAAGGUGGAGAACAGUCUUAAAAUUCUAGUCCUAGAACAGUACCUUACACACAACAGGUUUUCAAUCAUCUUAGCCAUCAUAAUCAUAAAUAAUGAUCAUCAGUUUAACUGUUCUCUUGUGCCAAACUACAUUACCACAUUACUUUUGUUUCCCCUUCAGCUCUACAACAUGGAGUCUAUUAUUAUUUCCAUGUUACAGAUCAGUAUAGUGAGGCUCAGAGAUACUAAAUCACUCAGGCAAUGUCACACAGCUUAUAGAGAUAAAUUUGCACCCUUUGUGUUGGAUCCUACAAACCAGGCCAUCAUUUAAGUCCUUCAAAAUAAACUCAGAACAUUUGAGUGAAUUAAUGAAUAAAUUUUCAUAGGGUAGCCUGAUCAUUAUAAUAGAUUCAGUUAAGUGAAGGAAUGGAAUAAUAUUUGGAUAGUUAAUGCAUUAAUUUACUUUCACUGAACUUUCUAAAUGAUGCUUAGCUGAUAGUUUUGUAGUUAUAAACACUGAAUAAAAACAAAAAUAUUUUGGUGUAUGGAAUAAGAUCUCACACUGAGUAAAAUGCAUAUUUAUCCCUAGACCUAUAUGAUGUGAGUAACAGAUGACAUUGAAAUGCCAUCUAGAAGUACUCCUGUGCAGUUCAUCAUGUCAGCCCAGCCAAUACUUUUAUGUUCUGACUAUAUAAUGUAUGCAGCCAUAAAGCAUAUUUCUAAUCAAUGCAAAUAAUAUUUUUUCUUAUGCUAAACCUAGAGUUAAAUUAUAACACUGAGCACAAGAUUAAUGGGCCAUUUUUUCAUCAUCACUUUGCUAAAUUACUUAGUUUGGAAACCAUUCAGAAGGUUGUGAAUUGGAGCUGAGCAGUAGGAACGAGAUUUUGCCUUUGAUGAUGAAAUGACUUCCACCCCUGACCCCUACUUCUGCCUUCUUGGGAAAGACAGCAACAUUUCUUCUAGAAAAAGUCACAGGUUUAUAAGCUGGCUCAUAUAAUAUAUGUGAGGAAUAUUAUAUCCUUUAAGCAGAGGCUAUCUUGGCGUGUAAAAUAUUUUUUACCUAACAUUUAAUGAAAUUAACACUGAGUUUGAGGUUAGGUCUUUUGCCAUUUGACCUCUGGUUCACUUUUGUGAAUAUAUUUUUUUUCUUGAGACAGUGUAAAACCAAUAUAUUAUCCAUAAUUCAGUCUGUCUAGCUGGUGUACACUAUCUGAAGCAUGAGACCAGGCUCUUUAUUGACACCUGUAUCAGUGUAGCUCUGAUGCUUAGUGUCUACCUUUUAGGAGAUGCCCAAUAAGCAUGUGUACUGAAUAAGGUGUGUCUGUGGUGAGCAAAUGUUGGCUUCCCAUUUUAGAAUUCACCCCAGGUGGCUCAAUGGCAAAGAAUCCGCCUGCCAAUGCAGGAGAUGCAGGAGACGUGGUUUCAGUCCCUGGAUUGGGAAGAUACCCUGGAGAAGAAAACAGGAAACCACUCCAAUAUUCUUCCUUGAGAAAUCCCAUGAACAGAGGAGCCUGGCAGUCUACCGUCCAUGGGAUCUCAAAGAUUCAGACCCCACUGAGCACGCACGCUAUCCCAUAUAUGUUCUGUAUGCAUUGGAUAACUGAAUCUUACGGUUAUUUUUCAGUACCCUUUGCAAGGUUCAUGAAAGGGCAUUUCCUGUACUUAGACUGUCCAUUUCCUCCUGUCUUCCUGGAGAACAACUCUUCUUUCUUAAAUACUUAGUCCCAUGAUUAACUCUUUAAGACUGAAUUUAUUACCUCCCUACAAAGAGAAAGAUGUGUGUCCAGCAUAUCAGCAGCAUCUAAGGAUUUGUUAGGAAUGGAAAGUCUUGUGCCCUGCUCCAAAUUUGCAGAGUUGGAGCUUCCGGAGUGCGAUUCAGUAGCUGUUUCAGCCAGCUCUUCCAGUGGUGCUGAUGCAUGUUUGAGAACCACUGCUCAGACCUAGAACUUAAGGUGUAGACUUUGGACACCUCUGAGUCCUAAACUCCACUAAGACACUGUGACCAUGAGCAAGUUACUUCUGGUAACUUUUUAUCAUCUGUGCUGCUUGCUUAGCUAAUAGCAAUUUAAUUAAGUAGAAUAAUGCACAUAGUACACUCAAAGGAGUGACCAAAACAUACUACGUGUUCCAUAAAUUCUAGCUGUUAUCAUUAGCAUCAGUGAGAGCUUACUGACACAGCCUUGAAGACAUUUUUCUAAUAAGUGUAAUAACAUGGUUUGCAAAAUUAACAGUUUAGAAGUGCAUAUUAUGAAGUUCAUCAGACAGGCUCUCAGCAGGAAAUAAGAGGUACAUCAGUAAGAAUAAAUUGAGCUGAAUGUAAAAAAUCAAGAGAUAAAUGUGGUGCCCUGGAUUUAGUAAAACUGUGGCUAUUUUAAAGGAGGGGAAAGAGAAAGGAAGUCUUGCAUCCCCAAAGGUGCUGUGAUGCCUCACAGAGGAGCUCUGUAUGUUAGUUGAUGGGGUGCAGCCAACUCCCAGCAAUUUGGCAAGAAUUCAUACCCUGACUUUACUCCCUUCCUUCAUUCCCUACAGUCUCUAAUUGGAACUAUUCAUUGGUGAGCCCCAACAGAAGCCAGAAGAAGGACACGUAAUAAGACAAGUCAUGCAUGCCAUCCAGAGCAUGGUGUUGGAUGGAGAAAGGAUAUGGAAGGGCAGAUGGGCUAUAUUCCCC